rnacentral:rRNA from 1 species
CUACGGGGGGCAGCAGUCAGGAAAACUUUACAAUGCACGAAAGUGUGAUAGGGGAAUUUCGAGUGCUUGCACUGCAAGCUUUUGUGUAGUUUGAAACGCUAUGCGAAUAAGUGGAGGGUAAGAUACGUGCCAGCCGCCGCGGUAAUACGUACUCCACAAGUGGUGUCCACUUAUAUUGGGCCUAAAACGUCUGUAGCCGGUUUAAAGAGUCCUUGGUGAAAUCAGCAGGCUUAACCUGUUGAAAUGCUAAAGAUACUAUUAAACUCGAGACCGGGAGAAGUCAAGGGAAUUCUUGCGGUAGCGGUGAAAUGCUAUGAUCUUUAGAAGACCACCCGUAGCGAAGGCGCUUGACUAGAACGGAUCUGACGGUGAGAGACGAAAGCUGGGGGAGCGACCCGGAUUAGAUACCCCAGUAGUC